UACGUAGGGUGCGAGCGUUAAUCGGAAUUACUGGGCGUAAAGCGUGCACAGGCGGUUCGCCAAGUCAGGUGUGAAAUCCCCGGGCUUAACCUGGGAAUUGCGCUUGAAACUAGCGGGCUUGAGUGUGGCAGAGGGGGGUGGAAUUCCACGUGUAGCAGUGAAAUGCGUAGAGAUGUGGAGGAACACCGAUGGCGAAGGCAGCCCCCUGGGUCAACACUGACGCUCAUGCACGAAAGCGUGGGGAGCAAACAGG
rnacentral:rRNA from 1 species